rnacentral:rRNA from 1 species
GACGACGAGGCAGUGAUUAGAGUUUGAUCCUGGCUCAGGACGAACGCUGGCGGCGUGCUUAACACAUGCAAGUCGAACGGGGAAUUUUAUUUCGGUAGAAUUCCUAGUGGCGAACGGGUGAGUAACGCGUAGGCAACCUGCCCUUCAGACGGGGACAACAUUCCGAAAGGGAUGCUAAUACCGGAUACGAAGCUUCUGCCGCAUGACGGAAGCUUGAAAGGUGCCCUCAAGCACCGCUGAAGGAUGGGCCUGCGUCCGAUUAGCUGGUUGGUGGGGUAACGGCUCACCAAGGCGACGAUCGGUAGCCGGUCUGAGAGGAUGAACGGCCACAUUGGGACUGAGACACGGCCCAGACUCCUACGGGAGGCAGCAGUGGGGAAUCUUCCGCAAUGGGCGAAAGCCUGACGGAGCAACGCCGCGUGAGUGAUGAAGUUCUUCGGAACGUAAAACUCUGUUGUUCACGACGAACGGGGGGACCAGGAAAUGGGUUUCCAGUGACGGUAGUGAACGAGGAAGCCACGGCUAACUACGUGCCAGCAGCCGCGGUAAUACGUAGGUGGCAAGCGUUGUCCGGAAUUAUUGGGCGUAAAGCGCAUGUAGGCGGUUCCUUAAGUCGGUCGUGAAAAUGCGGUGCUUAACGCCGUAUGGCGAUCGAAACUGGGGGACUUGAGUGCAGGAGAGGAAAGGGGAACUCCCAGUGUAGCGGUGAAAUGCGUAGAUAUUGGGAAGAACACCGGUGGCGAACGCGCCUUUCUGGACUGUGUCUGACGCUGAGAUGCGAAAGCCAGGGUAGCGAACGGGAUUAGAUACCCCGGUAGUCCUGGCCGUAAACGAUGGGUACUAUGUGUGGGAGGUAUCGACCCCUUCCGUGCCGGAGUUAACGCAAUAAGUACCCCGCCUGGGGAGUACGCCGCAGCUUAAACUCAAAGGAUUGACGGGGCCCGCACAGCGUGAGUAUGUGUUUAUCGACGCACGCGAGACUUACAGCUGACAUUGAGUGAAGACUGAGACAGUCCCUCUCGAGCACGAAACAGUUGUGCAUGCUGUCGUCAGCUCUGUCUGGAUGUCGUAGUCCGCACGAGCCCACCCUAUCUAUGUACAGCAUAGUGGACUCAUAGGAACUGCAGGGAACUGAGAGGCGGAAUAGCUCAGUCUAUGCUAAGUCUGGUUAACGUUCUCAUGUUCGCCACAAAAGACAGCGGAAACUCG